AUUGAACGCUGGCGGCAGGCUUAACACAUGCAAGUCGAGCGGAGUGAUGGUGCUUGCACUAUCACUUAGCGGCGGACGGGUGAGUAAUGCUUAGGAAUCUGCCUAUUAGUGGGGGACAACAUCUCGAAAGGGAUGCUAAUACCGCAUACGUCCUACGGGAGAAAGCAGGGGAUCACUUGUGACCUUGCGCUGAUAGAUGAGCCUAAGUCGGAUUAGCUAGUUGGUGGGGUAAAGGCCUACCAAGGCGGCGAUCUGUAGCGGGUCUGAGAGGAUGAUCCGCCACACUGGGACUGAGACACGGCCCAGACUCCUACGGGAGGCAGCAGUGGGGAAUAUUGGACAAUGGGGGGAACCCUGAUCCAGCCAUGCCGCGUGUGUGAAGAAGGCCUUAUGGUUGUAAAGCACUUUAAGCGAGGAGGAGGCUCUUUUGGUUAAUACCCAAGAUGAGUGGACGUUACUCGCAGAAUAAGCACCGGCUAACUCUGUGCCAGCCGCCGCCGUAA
rnacentral:rRNA from 1 species